UACGGGGGGAGCAAGCGUUGUUCGGAUUUACUGGGCGUAAAGGGCGCGUAGGCGGUCGUGACAAGUCACUUGUGAAAUCUCCGGGCUUAACUCGGAACGGUCAAGUGAUACUGUCGGACUAGAGUACAGAAGGGGCAACUGGAAUUCUCGGUGUAGCGGUGAAAUGCGUAGAGAUCAGGAAGAACAUCGGUGGCGAAGGCGCUCUGCUGGACCAUAACUGACACUCAGGGACGAAAGCUAGGGGAGCGAAUGGG
rnacentral:rRNA from 1 species